rnacentral:rRNA from 1 species
AAGGAAGGUGAAAGGGACAUCUAUAAGAUGGCUAAGAUCCGGGAGAGGAAGACGAGGGAUAUUUGCCAAGUCAAAUGCAUCCAGGACGGAGCAGGACAACUCUUGGUGAAGGACGAAGAGAUUAAGCAUAGAUGGCGGGAGUACUUCGACAAGCUGUUCAAUGGGGAGAAUGAGAGUUCUACCAUUGAACUGAAUGACUCCUUUGAUGAGACCAGCAUGCGUUUUGUGCGGUGCAUCCAGGAGUCUGAGGUGAAGGAGGCUUUAAAAAGGAUGAAAGGAGGCAAGGCGAUGGGCCCUGAUUGUAUCCCCAUUGAGGUGUGGAAAGGUCUCGGGGACAUAGCGAUAGUAUGGCUAACCAAGCUUUUCAACCUCAUUUUUCGGGCAAACAAGAUGCCAGAAGAAUGGAGACGGAGUAUAUUAGUACCAAUCUUCAAGAACAAGGGGGAUGUUCAGAGUUGUACUAAUUACCGUGGAAUUAAG